GAUGAACGCUGGCGGCGUGCCUAAUACAUGCAAGUCGAGCGAACGGACGAGAAGCUUGCUUCUCUGAUGCUAGCGGCGGACGGGUGAGUAACACGUGGAUAACCUACCUAUAAGACUGGGAUAACUUCGGGAAACCGGAGCUAAUACCGGAUGAUAUUUUGAACCGCAUGGUUCAAAAGUGAAAGACGGUCUUGCUGUCACUUAUAGAUGGAUCCGCGCUGCAUUAGCUAGUUGGUAAGGUAACGGCUUACCAAGGCAACGAUGCAUAGCCGACCUGAGAGGGUGAUCGGCCACACUGGAACUGAGACACGGUCCAGACUCCUACGGGAGGCAGCAGUAGGGAAUCUUCCGCAAUGGGCGAAAGCCUGACGGAGCAACGCCGCGUGAGUGAUGAAGGUCUUCGGAUCGUAAAACUCUGUUAUUAGGGAAGAACAUAUGUGUAAGUAACUGUUCACAUCUUGACGGUACCUAAUCAGAAAGCCACGGCUAACUACGUG
rnacentral:rRNA from 1 species